AACGAACGCUGGCGGCAUGCCUAACACAUGCAAGUCGAACGAAACCUCCGGGUGUUGUGGCGCACGGGUGUGUAGCGCGUGGGAACCUUCCCUUAGGUUCGGAAUACCUCCCCGAAAGGGGUGAUAAUACCGGAUAAUGUCUUCGGACCAAGGAUUUAUUGCGUUUGAAUGGGCACGAGUGGAAUUCGCUGGUUGGUAGGGUAAUAGCCUACUACGGCGUCGAUCCACAGCUGGUCAGUGAGGAUGAUCAGCCACACUGGGACUGAGAAACGGCCCAGACUCCUACGCGAUGCAGCAGUGGGUGAUAGUGCACCAUGGCGGAAGUCCUGAUCCAGCAAUGCCGGGUGAGCUAUGAAGUUCGUAGGGUUGUAAAGCUUAUUUACCCGGGAUGAUAAUGACAGUACCGGGAGAAUAAGCCCCGGCUAACUCCGUG
rnacentral:rRNA from 1 species